rnacentral:rRNA from 1 species
GUACGGCGAGUGAACAGGCAAGAGCUCAGAUUUGAAAGCCUUUCGGGGCAUUGUAUUCUGAAGCCUUGAUUCUGAGAACCGGUACCUAAGUCUUCUGGAAAGGAGCGCCAAGGAGGGUGAUAGCCCCGUACGGUACUGACCUCAUUGUAGAAUCUUGGCGUGGAGUCGAGUUGUUUGGGAAUGCAGCUCAAAUGGGUGGUAUGCUCCAUCUAAAGCUAAAUAUCUGCGAGAGACCGAUAGCGAACAAGUACUGUGAAGGAAAGAUGAAAAGAACUUUGAAAAGAGAGUGAAAAAGUACGUGAAAUUGUUGAAAUGGAAGGAUAGGCCGCUAACCACGUAGAGCCGUGUCUGAGGGGAGGAUAAAAGCUGUAGAAUGUGGCUCUUCGGAGUGUUAUAGCUGCAGUGCAUACUCCCACUCGGGCGCGAGGACCUAAGGCUCUGCUAAAUGGUGGUCUAUCACCCGUCUUGA